AGGACUGAACCGGCCGUGGCUGCUGCUGCCGCUGGGAGCCUCCCGGCUGCGCCAGACAGGGAGGGAUCAGCCGAGCCCUUCAGCGACACAAGCCCCACGCACGGGCUGAGCUGGACGAGAGCCGCAUUUUGCCUCUCCGGGCCUGAUAAAGCGCUGAGUCAGGCAGGCCGGGGGGUUUGUUUGAGGCUCCGGCACACAUGGAGCGGAGCAGGGCAGCGGAGGCAGCAGAGGUGUGACCUCCGCAGGGGAGGAGCUCGCUCUGCCCUCCCUGGGCACCGGCAGCUCGGGGAAGGCUCCGAUGAGCAGCGACCAUCGGCAGCUUCUCCUGGCAGAAAUCAGAGGCGAGGCAGGGACGCUGUUUUCGGGGGAGAAGAGAGGAUUUGUGAGCUCAGAUCACAGAAUCACUAGAUUUCCCUUGGCACAAUGUGAAGCUGUGUCCUCUCGUUCUGUCAGCUGCUGCCUGGAAAAAGAGACCAAGCCCACCUGACUACAGGAGUCCUGUGACUGCUGCCCGUCUGUUCUGCACCGCUGGAUGCUCCAGUCGCACUCUGGGCAUGACCUCUUCUGCCAUCCUGGCAGUGUCACCCCUCAAAAUUCCAUUUAUUAAUUAAAACUGAUCGCCUUUUGUGCCCCUCCUCCCUUUAUGUGUUUUCAGAAUUUCCCAGUACACGAGCAAAUGUUGACAGGAUCAUCUUCCAGUAACUUCUUGAGUCAGGAGAAGAUGGGACCAAGCCCCUGUGCUGUCAAACUGGUGCCAGGGAUCAGCAGCCUGCUGCUGUUUGUCAGCUUUAUCGUGGCAGGACAGGAUGUUGUUUAAAGCAGAUUUAGAAAUCAUUUCUGUGAAUAAGGUUAAAGGAAAACCCAUCUUGAUAAAGAUGAAAGAAAAUGGCUUUUACUGAGAAUCUCAGAGGGGUUUUUGCCAAGAUAAGCAGCGCCUGGCUUGACUAAGAGAAUUGCUGCUGAAUAUUUCAUGAAGGAUAUUGCCUUUAUUUGGCUUAGUUUAAUGGACAUGUUGGCUUUAAUUUAGUUAAAUAUUUUGAUUCUA